rnacentral:rRNA from 1 species
AACGAACGCUGGCGGCAGGCUUAACACAUGCAAGUCGAACGCCCCGCAAGGGGAGUGGCAGACGGGUGAGUAACGCGUGGGAAUCUACCGUGCCCUGCGGAAUAGCUCCGGGAAACUGGAAUUACUACCGCAUACGCCCUACGGGGGAAAGAUUUAUCGGGGUAUGAUGAGCCCGCGUUGGAUUAGCUAGUUGGUGGGGUAAAGGCCUACCAAGGCGACGAUCAAUAGCUGGUCUGAGAGGAUGAUCAGCCACAUUGGGCACUGAGACACGGCCCAAACUCCUACGGGAGGCAGCAGUGGGGAAUAUUGGACAAUGGGCGCAAGCCUGAUCCAGCCAUGCCGCGUGAGUGAUGAAGGCCUUAGGGUUGUAAAGCUCUUUCACCGAUGAAGAUAAUGACGGUAGUCGGAGAAGAAGCCCCGGCUAACUUCGUGCCAGCAGCCGCCGCCG